rnacentral:rRNA from 1 species
UACAGAGGGUGCGAGCGUUGUCCGGAAUCACUGGGCGUAAAGGGCGCGUAGGUGGUGGCUUAAGCGUGCGGUGAAAGCUCGGAGCUCAACUCCGAGUCGGCCGUGCGAACUGGGCUCACUGGAGCAUAGUAGAGGCAGGUGGAAUUCCGGGUGUAGCGGUGAAAUGCGCAGAUAUCAGGAGGAACACCGGUGGCGAAGGCGGAUCUCUGGGCCUUACCUGACGCUCGAGGUGGGAAAGCUAGGGGAGCGAACAGG